rnacentral:tRNA from 9 species
GCGCCGUUAGCUCAAUUGGCAGAGCAGCUGGCUCUUAACCAGCGGGUUGGGGGUUCGAUUCCCUCACGGCGCACCA